rnacentral:tRNA from 1 species
AGUAAGAUAAGCUAAGCAAGCUCUUGGGCCCAUGCCCCAAAUAUGCAGGUGAGACCCCUGCUUUUACUA